UACGUAGGGGCGAGCGUUGUCCGGAGUACUGGGCGUAAAGCGCACGCAGGCGGUCUGCUAAGUUUGGAGUGACAGUUGGUGGCUUAACUGCCAAAGUGCUUCGAAAACUGACAGACUUGAGGGCUUCAGAGGGACACGGAAUUCCGGGGUGGAGUGGUGAAAUGCGUAGAUAUCGUCAGGAACGCCAAUGGUGAAGACAGGUGACUGGGCCGGUACUGACACUGAGGCACGAAAGCGUGGGGAGCGAACGGG
rnacentral:rRNA from 1 species